rnacentral:rRNA from 1 species
GACGAACCGAGCGAACGUUGUUCGGAAUCACUGGGCUUAAAGGGCGCGUAGGCGGCUCUUCAAGUCGGGGGUGAAAUCCCACAGCUUAACUGUGGAAGUGCCUUCGAUACUGAGGAGCUCGAGCGAGGUAGGGGCCGAGGGAACUUCUGGUGGAGCGGUGAAAUGCGUUGAUAUCAGAAGGAACGCCGGUGGCGAAAGCGCUCGGCUGGACCUCUUCUGACGCUGAGGCGCGAAAGCUAGGGGAGCAAAC